AUUGGCUCUCGUUCUGGUUUGGCGGAAAGGUGAAAAGCACUAAAUCUUUCUUCCUGGUUGGUGUACUAGGGCGAGGCGAAUCCCAACCCCUUCGUUAGCUAGCUUAGCUUUCCCUCUUUUCAAUCUAUAUCAGAUCCUCCAUUACUUCUUCGCCAAUACCUUUGAGGCGAACCCCAACCCCUUCGUUAGCUAGCUUAGCUUUCCCUCUUUUCAAUCUAUAUUAGAUACUCCAUUACUUCUUCGCUAAUACCUUUUAGCUUUCCUUUAGCUGCUACUUUUUCCCAGUCCACGCCCAAUCAGAGUAGUCAGUGUGCCUGCUCCGUCCUUCUUUGACGAAAUGGAUGCUGUAGGAGAGGUUGGGAAGGAGGGACUUCGCUAAAGAUGGUCUGUCUGUGCGCGAGGAAGGUCUUUUUCCUUUCUCCUUCCAUUGCUUGACUAGGUUCGCUUUGCAAGGAAGGGAAGGCAUCCGUGCAGGUAGAA
rnacentral:lncRNA from 1 species